rnacentral:tRNA from 1 species
GCCGGGAUAGCUCAGCUGGGAGAGCAGAGGACUGAAAAUCCUCCACCGGUCCAAAACCUUUUCAUUU